CUGUAAAACACUUAUUAUUCGCGAGAAAUUUAUUUUCGCUAAUAUUCGCGAAUUUUCUAAGACGCGAAUUCAUAUUUCUCGCGAAUAUUUCACUUAGUCUAUACACUUGUCCGAAAAUGAACACUAUCCGAAAAUGCGAAUUGGAAAAAACUUCUUCGCUGCAUAUUACCUGUGUCAAGGAAGGUAACUGUGACUUGCACUAGAAUU